UUGAACGCUGGCGGUAGGCCUAACACAUGCAAGUCGAACGGCAGCACAGGAGAGCUUGCUCUCUGGGUGGCGAGUGGCGGACGGGUGAGGAAUACAUCGGAAUCUACUUUUUCGUGGGGGAUAACGUAGGGAAACUUACGCUAAUACCGCAUACGACCUACGGGUGAAAGCAGGGGACCUUCGGGCCUUGCGCGAUUGAAUGAGCCGAUGUCGGAUUAGCUAGUUGGCGGGGUAAAGGCCCACCAAGGCGACGAUCCGUAGCUGGUCUGAGAGGAUGAUCAGCCACACUGGAACUGGGACACGGUCCAGACUCCUACGGGAGGCAGCAGUGGGGAAUAUUGGACAAUGGGCGCAAGCCUGAUCCAGCCAUACCGCGUGGGUGAAGAAGGCCUUCGGGUUGUAAAGCCCUUUUGUUGGGAAAGAAAUCCAGCCGGUUAAUACCUGGUUGGGAUGACGGUACCCAAAGAAUAAGCACCGGCUAACUUCGUGCCAGCAGCCGCCGUAA
rnacentral:rRNA from 1 species